UCAAGCGCGAGAAGGGCGUUUGGUGGAUGCCUUGGCAGCAAGAGGCGAUGAAGGACGUGAUACUCUGCGAUAAGUCAUGGGGAGCUGAGAAUAAGCUUUGAUCCAUGAAUUUCUGAAUGGGGCAACCCACCUAAUACUUUGUUAUUACUACUCGUAAGAGUGGCUAAUAACUUGGUAAACUAGGUAUUUGUAGACUGAAUACAUAGGUUUACAAAAGCAAACCCGGGGAACUGAAACAUCUAAGUACCCGGAGGAAAGGAAAUCAAUAGAUACUCCCCUAGUAGCGGCGAGCGAACGGGGACCAGCCGAGCUGUGAUUGUGAUUAGAAUGGUCUGGAAUGGCCAACCAUAGUGGGUGAUAGUCCCGUAUAAGAAGCAUGAUCGGACGUAUUAAGUAGGGCGGAACACGUGAAAUUCUGUCUGAACAUCGGAGGACCACCUUCGAAGGCUAAGUACUCCUUACUGACCGAUAGUGAACCAGUACCGUGAGGGAAAGGUGAAAAGCACCCCGACGAGGGGAGUGAAACAGAUCCUGAAACCGAACGCCUACAAUCAGUCGGAGCCUCCUUGAGAGGUGACGGCGUACCUUUUGUAUAAUGGGUCAACGACUUGGUCUAUCUAGCAAGCUUAAGCCGUUAGGUGUAGGCGCAGCGAAAGCGAGUCUUAAUAGGGCGAAUGAGUUCGUGGGAUCAGACCCGAAACCGAGUGAUCUAGGCAUGUCCAGGAUGAAGGUAAGGUAACACUUACUGGAGGACCGAACCCACAUCUGUUGAAAAAGAUCGGGAUGAGGUGUGCCUAGGGGUGAAAGGCCAAUCAAACUCGGAGAUAGCUGGUUCUCUGCGAAAUCUAUUUAGGUAGAGCGUCGUCCGAAUACCCUCGGGGGUAGAGCACUGAAUGGGUAAUGGGGGCCUACAGCCUUACUGAUCCUAAUCAAACUCCGAAUACCGAGGAGUACUAGACGGCAGACACACAGCGGGUGCUAACGUCCGUUGUGGAGAGGGAAACAACCCUGACCUACGACUAAGGCCCCUAAUUCAUGGCUAAGUGGGAAAGCAGGUGGGACGACCAAAACAACCAGGAGGUUGGCUUAGAAGCAGCCAUCCUUUAAAGAUAGCGUAACAGCUCACUGGUCUAAAUAAGUUGUCCUGCGGCGAAGAUGUAACGGGGCUCAAGCCAUGAGCCGAAGCUUAGGAUGCAUUUAAUGCAUGGUAGCGGAGCGUAGUGUGACAUAGCACCGUUCCUCUUUUGCGGUUUGGUAUGAGCAAUCAUACGAUGCGUAAUGGAGGAGAUGGUGUUUUCUGUGAAGCCGGGCUGUAAGGCAUCCGGUGGAGAGAUCACUAGUGAGAAUGAUGACAUGAGUAGCGACAAAGAGGGUGAGAGACCCUCUCGCCGAAAAUCCAAGGGUUCCUGCUUAAAGCUAAUCUGAGCAGGGUAAGCCGACCCCUAAGUCGAGGCCGAAAGGCGUAGACGAUGGGAACCAGGUUAAUAUUCCUGGGCCAGGAGGAUGUGACGGAUCGAAAAUGUAGUUCAACCUAAUUGGAUUGGUUGGGCUGCUGGACGGUUCCUGGAAAUAGCCCUCCGUUAGAUCGUACCCUAAACCGACACAGGUGGAUAGGUAGAGAAUACCAAGGCGCUUGAGAGAACCACAUUUAAGGAACUCGGCAAAAUACCUCCGUAAGUUCGCGAGAAGGAGGCCCGUUCAGAACGCAAGUUUUGGGCGGGGGCACAAACCAGGGGGUGGCGACUGUUUACUAAAAACACAGGGCUCUGCGAAGUCGUAAGACGACGUAUAGGGUCUGACGCCUGCCCGGUGCCUGAAGGUUAAAAGGAGGGGUGAGAGCUCCGAAUUGAAGCCCAGGUAAACGGCGGCCGUAACUAUAACGGUCCUAAGGUAGCGAAAUUCCUUGUCGGGUAAGUUCCGACCUGCACGAAUG
rnacentral:rRNA from 1 species